rnacentral:tRNA from 2 species
GGAAGUGUGGCCGAGCGGUUGAAGGCACCGGUCUUGAAAACCGGCGACCCAAAAGGGUUCCAGAGUUCGAAUCUCUGCGCUUCCGCCA